UUCAGUGCAUCAUGCUAUACAUAUUUGAGACAGAAGAUGUGAAGCUUCAUGGCACAAGAGUAGAUUCAUUUCUCAUUCAUGUGCUGGUGGGCUCAGAUAACUUCAGCCAGCUCAAGUACACACAUUCCUCAUCCCACAGACUCCCUAGAAUGCCCUGUGCAAUGUAAUGCAAGCCUAGAGUACCCAAACUUUGCAAAUCAUAAGUUCCUUUGUUGUUUGUUUUUUUUUUUCAUUUUAGAUAUGUAAACAGCCUCACUGACUAACAAUAUAUCACAAAAAUCACAACAUUUUAACAUAUGAACAAAAAAAAUUUCUUCCAUCAAGUUGAUAAUGCACGUGGGGUUUGCAAACUGAAGGAUUUCCCUAAUUAAAACCUGAGAAUGGCUGCAGAGUGCACACACCGGCUCUCACAACACUUUUUAACACGCACAGACAAUCAUAAUAUUCAGCUGAAUUGUAGCUGAAAACCACCCCUGCCAGCAGCCAGUUCAUCCUGUACUACCCUAACCCAUAGCUCAGCUCCAAUUCAGAGGGAAAAGAAAUCAAUCUUCAGGUGAAAUUACAGGAGAUCAGCGAGCCUUGAAGGUCCUGCUCUUCUUGCCUGCUCCCAGCACACGGCCCCACUCCUGUGCUCAGCUGGGCACCUUUGUGAAACCAUUCCUGCAUAUUCAGCUGCACGAAGUGAGAUCCUUAUCUGGGGGUUACUGAGCUCAAUGGCUUCACAGAAGAUAUCCAACAAAGGACAGGAAAAAAAAAAUCAACUGGGAAGGAAGAAAUGAAUGAACCAAAGAAGAAAAUUGUUUUGUCAGCUUAAUUUCUGAAGAAGAUGACUGCUCUGGAGAUUCAAACAAAUGGCAGAAGCAGAAAAAUAGGAAGGAGCAGGAAUCCACAGCUGAAGGAUGUUUACAUUCUACCUUUUACAGACCUAUGAAUAUGGAAUCUCAUCUACACAGUAACUCUCAGUCUCCUUCCUCCUGGCAGUAAAAAAGCAGCUGGCAGAGCCAGGAGCUGCCACAGCAGCAGAGCUGGGUCCUGGCACCAGCAGUUUGAGUGGGAAACAACUGAUGCAAGUCAGCAGGCCUGGGCAUGCCAAAGCAGCAAACCCCAGCCC